UGCGUCUACGCCCACACUGCAGCCCUGCUUACAUUCGUAGUGGAGCAGAUGGACAGAUUCCAGUGCAGUCUGAAAUGUCAAUAAACCGGAGAUGUCUUUAAUGAGGGUACAAGCAUCAUAUUAUGAAGGCAUUCCAGAGCUAUUGUGAGCACACAGGGUCAUUUUUAUGUCCACAUUGCAAUGAAUACAUUGCUAAUACUCACAUACUCUAAUUAAAGAUGAUAUGAACUCUGCCAUAUUGCACCGAGGACGUCAUUAAGAGAUAGAGUCCAAUACAAACACACUCAACCAAUCGCAGGUCACUCUCUGCUGUUAAUCGUGAUGUUCAUCCCGAACAUCAAAUAGUAUGUGAUGUAGCAUAUGUAAAUUGUGGGAACACUCUACUUUCAAGCCUUCAGAGCUGACCAUUAGCUGCUAAUGUGCUAGGCAGAUUUCACAUGCUGCAGCAGCACAAUAUUACCGUCAGAACUUUUGAAGAGAAAACAUGUUGGUGCCAUUCAUCUUCCUCUGGUGGAUUGGUUCAAAUACUUUUAAUGACUGUUGGUGCCCUGACUCAACGAGGAGGGAGAAUGCCACAGUGGACAAGAGACCCAUAGGUUGAUUGUAGAGAGGAAGCUGAAGUUGCAUACACGAAGCAGUGAAGCAAAAAAGUUUGGGUUCAUAAGCAUAAAAACAACUUGCUGGAAGAUGUUGAAUUCAGCCCAGUGCAGCUUCUCUGCUGUGACUGACAUAGACUCUGCUGUGGGGGAGAGACACCUCAGGUCACACAGAGGCAUACUCAGCGACCAUGCCGUUUGUAGUAAGUUUGAUCGCACGGGAUGUGGGAAGAGGUUCAGGCGUCGGAAGAAAAUCUGUU